UGGGGGAUAUUGCACAAUGGGCGAAAGCCUGAUGCAGCGACGCCGCGUGGGGGAUGAAGGCCUUCGGGUUGUAAACUUCUUUUGCUCUGAACAAGGCAUGCUAAUGGGUGUGUUGAGUGUAGGGGUUGAUUAGCGCCGGCUAACUACGUGCCAGCAGCCGCGGUAAUACGUAGGGCGCGAGCGUUGUCCGGAAUUAUUGGGCGUAAAGGGCUUGUAGGUGGCUGGUUGCGUCUGUCGUGAAAGCUCAUGGCUUAACUGUGGGUUUGCGGUGGGUACGGGCUGGCUUGAGUGCAGUAGGGGAGGCUGGAAUUCCUGGUGUAGCGGUGGAAUGCGCAGAUAUCAGGAGGAAUACCGGUGGCGAAGGCGGGUCUCUGGGCUGUUACUGGCACUGAGGAGCGAAAGCAUGGGGAGCGAACAGG
rnacentral:rRNA from 1 species